rnacentral:rRNA from 1 species
UUGACCUCGGAUCAGGUAAGGAUACCCGCCUGA